UACGUAGGCAGCGAGCGUUGUUCGGAGUUACUGGGCGUAAAGGGUGUGUAGGCGGUUGUUUAAGUUUGGUGUGAAAUCUCCCGGCUCAACUGGGAGGGUGCGCCCGAAUACUGAGCGACUAGAGGUGGCGGGGAAGAGGAAAGUUGGAAUUCCGUGGUGGUAGCGGUGAAAUGCGUAGAUAUCAGGAGGAACACCGGUGGUGUAGACGGCUUUCUGGACCGUAACUGACGCUGAGACACGAAAGCGUGGGUAGCAAACAGG
rnacentral:rRNA from 1 species